CGCGGGAUGGAGCAGUUGGUAGCUCGUCGGGCUCAUAACCCGAAGGUCGAAGGUUCAAGUCCUUCUCCCGCUAC
rnacentral:tRNA from 1 species